CGUCAUCAGUGAUGUUUCUCCACAGCGGGCUCAUCAGUACCUGGUGACAGAAGGUCAAUCCAGCUCUGACUUGAGGCUGUUCAAGAAUCAGCUCCACUUGAUCUGGUUCCACCUCUACCACAGGCAGAGAAACACAGGCCUGGACUCUUUGUUGGCCAGACAAAAUCAGAAACGGAAAUCAUUGGUUUUCACAACUGGGUCCAGUUCCACCUGCAAAGGAUAUGAGGCCAGGGAGCAUGAUUUGAUUACAGGAAGUCUCUGGCUGUGUUGCUGAAUCUGCCGAUGCAAGA